rnacentral:lncRNA from 1 species
AUAGUUGGAAGUGUUGCUGUGGAAGACCAGCCAGAUGUCAGUGCCGUGUUGUCAGCCUACAACCAACAAGGAGAUCCCACAAUGUAUGAAGAAUACUAUAGUGGACUGAAACACUUCAUUGAAUGUUCCCUGGACUGCCAUCGGGCAGAGUUGUCCCAACUUUUUUAUCCUCUGUUUGUGCACAUGUACUUGGAGCUAGUCUACAAUCAACAUGAGAAUGAAGCAAAGUCAUUCUUUGAGAAGUAUUUUUUGGUUUAUUAAAAGAACCAGAAAUUGAGGUACCUUUGGAUGACGAGGAUGAAGAGGGAGAAAAUGAAGAAGGAAAACCUAAAAAGAAGAAGCCUAAAAAAG